rnacentral:lncRNA from 1 species
CCUGGGUACAUCAGAAUAAACUAUUUAACUCUAUGGAAUACACUUGGAUUUUAAAAUACAAAACUGGAAACAGAUCCAUUGGAACAAUUAUGGCUAAGCACAACCUAUUCAGGUUUAAUAGAAAUAUUAAUACCUGUUACUAUGAAUAAGAUAAUCACAUUACAAGUGAAAAUAGUUUUAAUUGAAAUAUUGUAGUUUUGAUUUGGCACUGUAAUUAGCAUCUGUAUUUUAAACUUUGUGACUGCUGUGAACAUUAUUUAUGGAAGGUUUAUAUUAAUAUAAUUUGGUGCUUGUUGCUUUUAUCAAAUAUUGGUGUCUAAUGAAAUAAAGUGCAAAGAACUUGAAGUUCUCA